CCGUUUUGUUCCCAAGACCAAACGCCUCUCACACCCUUUGCCUGGCGGCUGGCGGCUGUUCCCAUGGCUGGUCGACCUAGGUGACUAGGUCGCGAACAGUCCUGGCGCGACGGUCAUGGCGAUCCGGGCGGCUGGACGCGACGUCGCCUUCCAGGCACCGCCGCCCACCACGACCUCGAUCAGUGGUGGAACGUCGGCGCCGCUGCCAUCCAGCCCGACCCUAUGUUUCUGACACUAGCCUUGUGGAUCUGGCACCUCUCGCAGGUGCACAACCAGCACAAACGCGCUACAACGAGCAGCAUCAAGGGAUUUGGUUUGGGUGAUUAUAUACACGUCAUGACACCCUCUCCUCUACACGUUGAUGUCAAAUUCCCUCCUCCAAGGUCAAAGCGUUCUGCUAUGAGGUAAAGGAAUUUUUUGUGGAGGAAACUACUGUUCAGGUAUUGGUAGAUCUUCCUAACAAUUUUCCUUUUGCAAUCGUAUCAUUUAAUUAAUAUAGUUAAUUGGUCGUUGCAAAAUAUAAUGAUGGAUUACUCUUUGCAGUUUUAGUAACAUCAUGCCAUCAUCCUCAUAGUCUUGUUAUGCACUUGUAUUUAGUUAUGUUCUUUUUAGUUUUCGUGUGUUGAAACAACCAAUUUGAAAAACCAGGAAGAGUAUCUUAGUGAUCACGUUUCAGUGCUGCAUACAAGAAGUUGCCCUCUCUGAGUUUUAUUUUAUGAAGCAGAGUUGAAUCUUUGCUCCAAGUGGAAGAUAAUGUUACUGUCUGUCAGUAUUGGUUUGCUGUUGCAAGAUUAUUACACAGUUAUAAGCUAGGAAUUUUGUGUUAGCCAAGCAUUUUACUAUGUACGUGUAUCCCAUUUGAAAUCCCUUCAACCCCAAUCAAAUUCCAAUCGAUAUCACUUCUAUGGUGAUUCCAUUGUUUAUACUAUUGAAGUUUUGAUUCCUUCCUGUUUCUUUCAUGGGUUAAUAUUUUAUGAUUAAUUACACAUCAAGAAAAGAUUUUUUAAAUAUAUUUUGGGUAGAAUUCUUAUUGUUCUAUGUCUUUGUUCCUUCGAAUUAGGCAUGAAAUAAGUUCAAUGUCAAUGUGUUGGUAGACCUCAUCUCCCACCAUGCAUAUGUGUUGCUGCAGGAAUCAUGGCAAAAAGAGUUACAAUGUAUUUUACUAGAUUCUAAUGAAUUCACUUUGUUUACAUGUGGAUGAACUAAUAGGCAAUCCCUUGACUAUAUUUUGACUUAACUACUUUUAGAGUAGGAGGGUCGUCUAUCUGACAGAUCAUAAAUCUGUUACUGUACAUAUUGUAAUGUUCUAAUCUGAAUGCAGUCAGUUGUUUAAUAUUAUUAUUAUAAAUCUCAAGGUAACCGAUUACUUUGUGUAAUCGCAAUACCUAAUUUUACAACUUCUUCCAUGUUAUAAAUCAAAUGACUCCAAUAUGUACCACCUAUUGAGUUUUAGAUGGAUGCUAAGAUAGGAAUGGAGCAUCAACUUGGUUCCAGUGUAAGUACAUGAUUCUGAAGUCCCUCGGCUGGAAACAUUUAGUACUUACCAUUUUCUCUUUUCCUAGAUAUCGCCCCUCUUGUACUUAGCUAAUUAUGUGCCUGAAAGCAAAAGAAUUGCUAUUUUUCCUGGAGUUAGCAAAUUAUCAUGUACAAUAUAAUAGAGUAUGUGAGUAUCUUGAAUUUUGUUACAAUAUAUGUCAGCAUCCAAAAUUUAUUUUUCACAUUAUGUAGAUUAUCUAUCUCUAAAUCAUGUGGUCCCUUUUCAAUCAUGAGUAGCAGUAGUACUACAUGAAGAUUAUAAACUAGGUAUGAAUUUUUUGCUCUAAUUCACGAGUACAUGUGGUAUUAGUAGAGUACACUCACUAUCUAAUAUUUGGAGUAAACCUGAUUGAACUUAUAAGCUGGCCUCGCGAACACAAAGAUCUGUUCCAUCUGAUUUUCCCAUUCCUCAUAAAUACAAAUGUUGCUUAUUACUGUUCCAAGGUAUGCCAAAUUAUUUACCAGAAAGCAAUGUUUGCUGCAGAUUCCUAUAAAUUUCUAUUUGUUUAGAACGUCUCCUCUCAGUAUAUAAUUCCUAGAGAUAAAAAGUUCUUAAUAUGUCUGGCCGAGUUUAAAUUUAGGACAUUGUAUUUGGUUGUCAGACAAGGUUUCACUGCCGUGUUAGUGAUAGGUCAAACUUGUGAUGGCUCCAUGUCAGGUGAAAGAACAGAAGAAGUGUGCCAAUCAGGCUAGACUGUUAUUACUCAAUUUUUUUAACAAAUAUUGUAGAAAGUUUGGUUGUUUCCAGUUGAACGAAUAUUAUAUGUUGUCAAAGAGGAUUCAAGUUACGUUUUUUCUGUAUGUAGGUAUUCAUGCGAUAAAAUUUGACCGACUCUUUGCUGAAAUUUAUUUCAGUACUAGCGCAUAACCAAGCAAUGAUAUCUAGGUUGAGAACUUCAAGAAGGACGUACUGGAUCCAUGCAAGGUGUACUGGAUCCAUGCUAGGAACCGGGACAAAUGGGCCUUAUGAACCGGGACAAAUGAUCCCUUUUCUACUAGUGCUGGCACAUGAUGGUGCUCGCUAUAUUAGUUAUGCUGUCUCCAUGGGAGUUUUACAUUUUUGUGACCAGAUGCAUAAGGCUCCCCUAUUUCUUAUUUGUUUCCAAACAUCAUAGCCCUUUGGUAGAGGCUUGUGAAGAUGCCAUUUAUGUAGCAUGUAUACAAUCUCUGCUUAUUAUUUGUCUUGGUAGUGCUGAGUAGGCGUAUUUACUAUCUUAACUGUUGUGUAUAUUGUUAUACCAAGCCAAUUUGUAUGUCUGAAUCUUGCUA